AAUUGAUAACAUAAGGGAAAAUAAUGAUAUUACCUUAUUAUUAGUGUCGUCCAAAUCUGGUGCCAGAAGACUCGGUAAGGCCAGAGACACAAACGUUAAUCGUCUUAAUCAGGCGUAAAGGGUUUGUAGGCGGCUUUAAAAUUUACUUAUAAAAAAAUAAAUAAUAAGUAAAAAAUAAAAGCUAGAAUCAAAUAGAGGAUAUAUGAAAGAAUGUUUAGAGUAGGUCUGAUAUCCUUAGAUACUAAGUAGAAUAUUAAAGGCGAAAGCUUUUUUCCAUUAAUGAUUGACGCUCAGAAACGAAGGUGAGGAUAGGAAAUAGGAUUAGAUACCCAGAAUACCCCUCUCUGUCAACGAUGAAUGGUAGUUAUUAGUAAAAAAUAUUAAUGGCAAUGUUAACACGAUAACCAUUCCGCCUUGCGAGUACGGUUG
rnacentral:rRNA from 1 species